rnacentral:rRNA from 1 species
UCAGGCCUAACACAUGCAAGUCGAGCGGUAACAGGGGGUGCUUGCACUCCGCUGACGGCGGCGGACGGGUGAGUAAUGCUUAGGAAUCUGCCCAGUAGUGGGGGAUAGCCCGGGGAAACCCGGAUUAAUACCGCAUACGUCCUACGGGAGAAAGCAGGGGAUCUUCGGACCUUGCGCUACUGGAUGAGCCUAAGUCGGAUUAGCUAGUUGGUGGGGUAAAGGCCUACCAAGGCGACGAUCCGUAGCUGGUCUGAGAGGAUGAUCAGCCACAUCGGGACUGAGACACGGCCCGAACUCCUACGGGAGGCAGCAGUGGGGAAUAUUGGACAAUGGGGGCAACCCUGAUCCAGCCAUGCCGCGUGUGUGAAGAAGGCUUUCGGGUUGUAAAGCACUUUCAGCGAGGAGGAAGGCUNUGAAGUUAAUNCCUNCAGGGAUGACGUU